ensembl:snRNA U1 U1 spliceosomal RNA
AAACAUGCAUGAUGAGGACGGUAGAGACAGAAAUGGUACCUCUGACUGGCCGCCUGGGCCUUCAUACUCCCCUGUGAAUUCCCCAAAUGUGGGAAUUUCAACUGCAUAAUUUAUAGUAGUGGGGGACUGCGUUUGCGCUCUACCCUG